UACGAGGGGGCGAGCGUUGUUCGGAAUUAUUGGGCGUAAAGGGUGCGUAGGCGGUUUGGUAAGUCUUAUGUGAAAUCUACAGGCUCAACUUGUAGUCUGCAUGAGAAACUGCCGGGCUUGAGUAUGGGAGAGGUGAGUGGAAUUCCUGGUGUAGCGGUGAAAUGCGUAGAUAUCAGGAGGAACACCUGUGGCGAAAGCGGCUCACUGGACCAUAACUGACGCUGAUGCACGAAAGCUAGGGGAGCAAACAGGG
rnacentral:rRNA from 1 species